rnacentral:tRNA from 3 species
GGCGACGUGGCCAAGUGGUAAGGCAGAGGUCUGCAAAACCUUUAUCACCGGUUCGAAUCCGGUCGUCGCCU